ensembl:lncRNA
AGAUUACAGAUUGCUUUUAUGCAGCAUUCAAGGGUAGUGUAUUGACUUAGAUUUGCUCUGGAACUGUGAACCAAAUCUUGGAUGGGGAGAGCAAAGAAGGGCAUAAUGGUUUGAGUUGUGCAAUAGACAAUUAAUUACAUCAGUAACAAUGAUGCUUAACAGUGUUUUGUGCACCCAACAGAGUCUUCAAGGCAGCGCUGCCUGGUUAAGGUUAGGGCCUUCCAGGCAGUGCUGCCUUGCAGACUCCGUCAGGGGCACAACACCAUCGAGCAUCAGUGACAUGAUGAAGCCAACCGCAUGGAUGCUCAGCAUUGAACAGAAGGUUGUGAUGGGACCACACCACUCCUUCAGCAACGGAAUAGCUGCAAUGUUUGCAAGCUAUUAUUGCUUAGCUGUCCCCUCCCUCGUCCCUAAGUCACCACAUUAAUGCACUGCGGUCUUCAAGCAGCGAGUUAUCUAGAACCAUCUCAGAUCCAUAAGUGUGAUAAACAUGAUAAAAACCAUCAAAACAGACAUUGGGAAGGUUUUUUUACCUGCUCCGCCAUUGUAGUCACUUAAAGAUCUAUUGCUCUAGGCGUGCACCGUCAGUGAGACGUGCCGGUUUGUAGCGUUCUGUCUUCUGAUUGGAUAUCAGUUGUGGGAUCCCCGAAAAGUUUAUUUGCGGAUUAUAUUGCAGAGCAGGUGACUGAGAGAUCAGAGUUAUGAAACGCGCACACUAUAUAAGUGAUCACUGUAUGAAUAUAGAGCGAUUUAACACGUAUAUUAACAUAAAUAAAUCGCUUACUUCAAUACAGUUGAACCAAAAAAUUUGAAUUUACUUUAAAAAUGGUCUUUCAUCUCUGUGAUGAACAGCAGCCUCUAGUUGUUGUCAUGUCAAUGUCACUGUGCCUGUGACAUCUUUGGUGUAAGGUAUACUGCAUCUGUCUAUGAAAAAAAUUAUUCUAUAUAUAAAUCUAUGUAAAACUGAAAGUUGUUUUCUUGUUUUAUUUACAGGUGCUUCUUGAGCAUCAAUCCAGAGAGGGGCUCCAAAGCCAAGAAAAAGCGUGGGUUGAUGAACCCACAUGUGAGCACACUCUUGAGGAAGAUAUUGGACUUCGAAUGGAUUUCAAUGUAGGGUGAAAUGUGCCGUGACGUCAGCGUUACCAGAGAAACAAUUUACCAGUUUCUGAAUUACCAAAACAGUUGUGUUUUCAAAAGAUUCCUCCCUGGGAGGGGGUUUCAAAAGUUCGCGGUUUCAAGCCUGCGUUUUCUGUUUUUUUCUGUUCUGUUGUAAUUUUUCCUAUAAGUAGAAAUGGGUCUGGGUUGUUAUAUGUUAAUUGUAUUAAUGUUGAUUCAUUGUAUAAUUAAAUGUUGAAUUGAACAAAUUGCAUGUUUUCUUUGUUUUCCUUUUACCUUGGAUGCAUGUGUAUGAAGUUACAGUAUAUUGCAUGCAGGAUAUCCCUAUAUCACAGUAAUUCCAUGGGAAAGACAACUGUGAAGUUAUAGUAAAUUACUGGCUACCUAAUUGCAUUAAUUUCACAGUGAAAAUGUAAAAAUACAGCCAUUUAGUGUAAUGUAUGUACCGCAAGUUACUGUUAUAACACAGCUACAUAUUGCUAAAUCACAGCUUUUUAAUGGGUAUGACAACUUUGAAGAUACA